rnacentral:rRNA from 1 species
GAGUCGGCCUGCGCGGAAGAUGUAACGGGGCUAAGCAAUAUACCGAAGCUGCGGAUACGUGUUUACACGUAUGGUAGGGGAGCGUUGUGUAAGUGGAUGAAGGUGGAUUGAGAAGUCUGCUGGACAUAUCACAAGUGCGAAUGCUGACAUGAGUAACGAUAAUGGGAGUGAAAAACUCCCACGCCGGAAGACCAAGGUUUCCUGUCCCAUGCUAAUCAGGGCAGGGUAAGUCGGCCCCUAAGGCGAGGCAGAAAUGCGUAGUCGAUGGGAAACGGAUUAAUAUUUCCGUACUUAUAUAAUCAGUGAUGGAGGGACGGAGAAGGCUAAGCAAGCUUGGCGUUGGUUGUCCAAGUGAAAGCAAGUAGGCCGAGAAUUUAGGUAAAUCCGGAUUCUUAAAGCUGAGAUGCGAGACGAGCCACUACGGUGGUGAAGUUGUUGAUGCCCUGCUUCCAGGAAAAGCUUCUAAACUUAUGAUUAUAUGAACCGUACCCCAAACCGACACAGGUGGUCAGGUAGAGAAUACUAAGGCGCUUGAGAGAACUCGGGUGAAGGAACUCGGCAAAAUUGUACCGUAACUUCGGGAGAAGGUACGCCCUUGUUUGUGAUAGGACUUGCUCCUUGAGCAGAUGAGGGCCGCAGUGACCAGGUGGCUGGGACUGUUUAUUAAAAACACAGCACUCUGCUAACUCGCAAGAGGACGUAUAGGGUGUGACACCUGCCCGGUGCCGGAAGGUUAAUUGAUGGGGUUAUCUUCGGAGAAGCUCUUGAUCGAAGCCCCGGUAAACGGCGGCCGUAACUAUAACGGUCCUAAGGUAGCGAAAUUCCUUGUCGGGUAAGUUCCGACCUGCACGAAUGGUGUAACCAUGGCCACGCUGUCUCCACCCGAGACUCAGUGAAAUUGAAAUCGCAGUGAAGAUGCUGUGUACCCGCACCUAGACGGAAAGACCCCGUGAACCUUUACUACAGCUUGGCACUGAACAUUGAACCUACAUGUGUAGGAUAGGUGGGAGGCUUCGAAGCACAGUCGCUAGAUUGUGUGGAGCCGUCCUUGAAAUACCACCCUUGUAUGUUUGAUGUUCUAACAUUGGUCCCUUAUCGGGAUUAUGGACAGUGUCUGGUGGGUAGUUUGACUGGGGCGGUCUCCUCCCAAAUAGUAACGGAGGAGCACGAAGGUUAGCUAAUCACGGUCGGACAUCGUGAGGUUAGUGCAAUGGCAUAAGCUAGCUUAACUGCGAGACAGACACGUCGAGCAGGUACGAAAGUAGGUCAUAGUGAUC